UAGGACAUGUGUGAUAAAGUUUGAAAUGAACUAUUGGGCCAAUGGAAUGAACCCAACGUUUGACUGGGCCGUCAGCCCAGUUUCAAUUGCUCAAAAUUUCCCGAAAAGGGCAGAACUCUUCGUUCCUUCUCCGGUUAGGGUUUCUUACGCUGCGGCGAAAUUGGACCUAUAAAUAUGCGCCUCCAUCUUCAGCGGUUGCUCUGUGAUUACAUGCCUUAAUAGGGCAAUAUACGCUAUUCUGAAGAUGAAAGUUUGUGUAGAUAUCUAUGGAAGCUAUAUGAGAGCUUCUGCUACAGUUUGUGUAUUACGUGUUUUGUUUUGUUGUUUUGAGAUUUUUGAAAUUUUUUUUGCGAUGAUGAAUUAUGAAUUAAAUUCACAUGUCAGACUUCGGAGAUUUUUCUUUUCUCGGAAAGAUAAGUCGAUGAGAAUGAAUAUUCAUAUUCUGAGCUUAAUUUUCGGUUUUGGCAUCUUGUAUGUUCUUCGAUUCUUGAAAUUUCAUGAGGUUUUCUGUUCACUUGCUAUCAUAGCCUUUGUAUUAAACUAAGUCCGUGCACCAAUUUUUAUUUAAUGGAAUGACUAAGGAAUUUUGAAGAUUUAUAUUGUCUCAGAACUUGUAUGUUCCACUACGUUCUUCGUCUGUUCGUGCCAAACUUUUUUCUUUCAAGGAAUGGAAUAAGAGUGUGUUUGGGAUUGAGAGGAUCGGAGGUAGGACUUCUUCCAGAUGUGGUUUUAGAAUUAUCAAAUUGCUUAAAGAGCACUGUAUUUGAGAGGAUGGGAGAUUAUAUGAAGACUUGAGACAGAAUCGUGCAA